rnacentral:rRNA from 1 species
CCUACGGGAGGCAGCAGUGAGGAAUAUUGGUCAAUGGACGAGAGUCUGAACCAGCCAAGUAGCGUGAAGGAUGACUGCCCUAUGGGUUGUAAACUUCUUUUAUAUGGGAAUAAAAUGUUCCACGUGUGGGAUUUUGUAUGUACCAUAUGAAUAAGGAUCGGCUAACUCCGUGCCAGCAGCCGCGGUAAUACGGGGGAUCCGAGCGUUAUCCGGAUUUAUUGGGUUUAAAGGGAGCGUAGGUGGAUUGUUAAGUCAGUUGUGAAAGUUUGCGGCUCAACCGUAAAAUUGCAGUUGAAACUAGCAGUCUUGAGUACAGUAGAGGUGGGCGGAAUUCGUGGUGUAGCGGUGAAAUGCUUAGAUAUCACGAAGAACUCCGAUUGCGAAGGCAGUUCACUGGACUGCAACUGACACUGAGGCUCGAAAGUGUGGGUAUCAAACAGGAUUAGAUACCCGAGUAGUC